CCUACGGGAGGCAGCAGUGAGGAAUAUUGGUCAAUGGGCGCGAGCCUGAACCAGCCAAGUAGCGUGAAGGAUGACUGCCCUACGGGUUGUAAACUUCUUUUAUAAAGGAAUAAUGAGAGGCACGUGUGGCUUUUUGUAAGUACUAUACGAAUAAGGAUCGGCUAACUCCGUGCCAGCAGCCGGGGUAAUACGGAGGAUCCGAGCGUUAUCCGGAUUUAUUGGGUUUAAAGGGUGCGUAGGUGGCCUUUUAAGGUAGUUGGGAAAGUUUGCGGCUUAACCGUAAAAUAGCAAUUGAUACUGGCAGUCUAGAGUACAGUUGAGGUAGGCGGAAUUAGUGAAGUAGCGGUGAAAUGCUUAGAUAUCACUAAGAACUCCGAUAGCGAAGGCAGCUUACUAAACUGCCACUGACAUUGAUGCUCGAAAGUGUGGGUAGCAAACAGGAUUAGAUACCCCAGUAGUC
rnacentral:rRNA from 1 species